rnacentral:rRNA from 1 species
AGUGAACGCCGGCGGUAGGCCUAACACAUGCAAGUCGAACGGCAGCACAGUAAGUGCUUGCUCUUACGGGUGGCGAGUGGCGGACGGGUGAGGAAUACAUCGGAAUCUACUUUUUCGUGGGGGAUAACGUAGGGACACUUACGCUAAUACCGCAUACGACGUACGGGUGAAAGCAUGGGAUCUUCGGACCUUGCGCGAUUGAAUGAGCCGAUGUCGGAUUAGUUAGUUGGAGGGGUAAAGGCCCACCAAGGCGACGAUCCGUAGCUGGUCUGAGAGGAUGAUCAGCCACACUGGAACUGAGACACGGUCCAGACUCCUACGGGAGGCAGCAGUGGGGAAUAUUGGACAAUGGGCGCAAGCCUGAUCCAGCCAUACCGCGUGUGUGAAGAAGGCCUUCGGGUUGUAAAGCCCUUUUGUUUGGAAAGAAAAGCAGCAGGUUAAUACCCCGCUGUUCUGACGGUACCCAAAGAAUAAGCACCGGCUAACUUCGUG